AAAGGGAGACCUAAUUCGGGUAUAAGACGAAAAAAUAGUAGUCGAAACCAAGAAUCAAUCCCAAAAGGUCGGAACGAGGUAUGUGGCUUUCAAACUAGGUUCUGGGUUCACAAAAGACCUGAAUCAGGAACAAGGGCUAUUAGCUCAGGUGGUUAGAGCGCACCCCUGAUAAGGGUGAGGUCCCUGGUUCGAGUCCAGGAUGGCCCACCUGCACAGGUGGCAAAAACAAGAGAAACGAGGAAUCAGCACCUUAUCUUACUCAUAUAGUAAGAGAGAAUGCUGGCUCUGAGUAAAGAGUCCAGAGGAACCUUGAAAACUGCAUAGAGCUAGGUGAAAAAGCCAAAAAAGAAGACCGCAAG
rnacentral:tRNA from 1 species